UUACGUGGAGGCGCUGGUGGGAUACUACCCUAGCUGUGUUGGCUUUCUAACCCGCACCACUUAUCGUGGGGGGAGACAGUGUCAGGCGGGCAGUUUGACUGGGGCGGUCGCCUCCUAAAAGGUAACGGAGGCGCUCAAAGGUUCCCUCAGAAUGGUUGGAAAUCAUUCAUAGAGUGUAAAGGCAUAAGGGAGCUUGACUGCGAGACCUACAAGUCGAGCAGGGUCGAAAGACGGACUUAGUGAUCCGGUGGUUCCGCAUGGAAGGGCCAUCGCUCAACGGAUAAAAGCUACCCCGGGGAUAACAGGCUUAUCUCCCCCAAGAGUUCACAUCGACGGGGAGGUUUGGCACCUCGAUGUCGGCUCAUCGCAUCCUGGGGCUGUAGUCGGUCCCAAGGG
rnacentral:rRNA from 1 species